rnacentral:rRNA from 1 species
UAGGGAAUCUUCCACAAUGGACGAAAGUCUGAUGGAGCAACGCCGCGUGAGUGAAGAAGGGUUUCGGCUCGUAAAACUCUGUUGUUAAAGAAGAACAUAUCUGAGAGUAACUGUUUACCCAGUGACGGUAUUUAACCAGAAAGCCACGGCUAACUACGUGCCAA